GGUGGGGUAGCUCAGUGGUAUGAGCAUGGGAUUGCAGAUCCUAGGGUCACGUGUUCGACUCACGUUCUCACCU
rfam:Schizopora paradoxa strain KTC8140 unplaced genomic scaffold SCHPAscaffold_00188, whole genome shotgun sequence.